rnacentral:rRNA from 1 species
UACGUAGGGUGCAAGCGUUGUCCGGAAUUAUUGGGCGUAAAGAGCUCGUAGGUGGCCUGUCGCGUCGGCUGUGAAAACUCGGGGCUCAACUCCGAGCUUGCAGUCGAUACGGGCAGGCUAGAGUUCGGCAGGGGAGACUGGAAUUCCUGGUGUAGCGGUGAAAUGCGCAGAUAUCUGGAGGAACACCGGUGGCGAAGGCGGCAUCCUGGACCAACACUGACGCUGAGGAGCGAAAGCCAGGGGAGCAAACGGG